GUGAGUAACGCGUGAGGAAUCUGCCUCAUACAGGGGGACAACAGUUGAAAACGACUGCUAAUACCACAUAACCCCACGGGUCGGCAUCGACCACACGGAAAAGGAGCAAUCCACUUUGAUAUGGCCUCGCGUCCGAUUAGCUAGUUGGUGAGGCAACGGCCCACCAAGGCAACGAUCGGUAGCCGGACUGAGAGGGUGAACGGUCACAUUGGGACUGACACACCGUCCACACUCCUACGGAAGGCAGCAGUGGGGAAUAUUGCACAAUGGGGGAAACCCUGAUGCAGCGACGCCGCGUGCACGAAAAAGGUCUUCGGAUUGUAAACUCCUGUUGUUGAUGAAGAUAAUGACGGUACUCCACAAGGAAGUGACUGCUAACUACGUGCUCAUCCGCCACGGCAAAACGUAUGUCACAAGCGUUGUCCGGAAUUACUGGGUGUAAAGGGAGCGCACGCGGUAAUACAAGUUGGAAGUGAAAUCUAUGGUCUCAACCCAUAAACUGCUUUCAAAACUGUUUUUCUUGAGUAAUGCAUAGGUAGGCGGAAUUCCCGGUGUACCGAUGGAAUGCAUAGAUAUCAGGAGGAACACCACUGGCGAACGCGGCCUACUGCGCACCAACUGACACUGAGGCUCGAGAGUGGAAGUAGCAGACAUGAUACGAUACCUUGAUAGUCCACACUGUAAACGAUGAUUAGUAGGUGUUGGAGGAUUGACGCUUUCAGCGACGCAGCUAACACAAUAAGUAAUCCACCUGGGGAGUAAGACCGCAAGGUUGAAACUCAAAGGAAUUGACGGGGGGCCGCACAAGCAGUGGAGUAUGUGGUGUAAUUUGACGCAACGAGAAGAACCUUACCAAGUCUUGACAUCCCUUGACGAAAGUAGAAAUAUGUUUUCUUUUCGGAGCAAGGAGACAGGUGGUGCAUGGUUGUCGUCAGCUAGUGUCGUGAGAUGUUGGGUUAAGUCACGCAACGAGCGCAACCCUUACUGUCAGUUAGUACGCAAGAGGACUGUGGCAGGAUUGCCGUUGACAAAACGGAGGAAGGUGGGGAAGACGUCAAAUCAUCAUACCUUAUAUGACUCGGGAUACACGCGUAUUACAAUGGCGUUAAACAAAGAGAAGCAAGACCGGGAGGCGGAGCAAAAGUCAGAAACAACGUCCCAGUUUGGAAUGCAGGAUGCAAGUCGCCUGCACGAAGUCGGAAAUGCUAGUAAUCGAGGAUCAGCAUGUCACGGUGAACACGUUGCCGGGCUUUGUACACACCGCCCGUCACACCAUGAGAGCCGGGGGGACCGGAAGUCGGUAGUCUAACCGCAAGGAGGAUGCCGCCGAAGGUAAAACUGGUGAUUGGGGUGAAGUC
rnacentral:rRNA from 1 species